GCCAGUGUGGCUCAGUUGAUAAGACUGGUAACCAAGGCCGCACACAUUAGAAGUGCGUGGGUUCGAAUCCCAUCACUGGCA
rfam:Blastomyces dermatitidis ER-3 genomic scaffold supercont1.5, whole genome shotgun sequence.